rnacentral:rRNA from 1 species
ACGGAAGGCAGCAGUGGGGGAUAUUGCACAAUGGAGGAAACUCUGAUGCAGCAACGCCGCGUGAGGGAAGAAGGUUUUCGGAUUGUAAACCUCUGUUUUUAGUGAAGAAACAAAUGACGGUAGCUAAAGAGGAAGCCACGGCUAACUACGUGCCAGCAGCCGCGGUAAUACGUAGGUGGCAAGCGUUGUCCGGAUUUACUGGGUGUAAAGGGUGCGCAGGCGGGACUGCAAGUUGGAUGUGAAAUACCGGGGCUCAACCCCGGAACUGCAUCCAAAACUGUAGUUCUUGAGUGGAGUAGAGGUAAGCGGAAUUCCGAGUGUAGCGGUGAAAUGCGUAGAUAUUCGGAGGAACACCAGUGGCGAAGGCGGCUUGCUGGGGUCUAACUGACGCUGAGGCUCGAAAGUGUGGGGAGCAAACAGGAUUAGAUACCCUGGUA